rnacentral:rRNA from 1 species
UGGGGAAUAUUGCACAAUGGAGGGAACUCUGAUGCAGCGACGCCGCGUGAACGAAGAAGGCUUUCGAGUCGCAAAGUUCUUUUAUAUGGGAAGAUAAUGACGGCACCAUAAGAAAAAGCCCCGGCUAACUACGUGCCAGCAGCCGCGGAAAUACGUAGGGGGCUAGCGUUGUCCGGAAUCACUGGGCGAAAAGGGUUCGCAGGCGGAAAUGCAAGUCAGGUGUAAAAGGCAGUAGCUUAACUACUGUAAGCAUUUGAUACUGCAUGUCUUGAUAGGAGUAGGGGUAAGUGGAAUUUUUAGUGUAGCGGUGAAAUGCGUAGAUAUUAAAAAGGAUGACGGUCGCGGGGGCAAGUUGCUGGGCUCAUUCUGACGCUGAGGAACGCAAGCAUGGGUGGGGAACAGG